AUUGGUAUAUCGAUGAUAUUGUCUGCCUAGCGUACUAUGAAAGGUACUUUUACGACAAGGAGAAAGAUGAGUGUAUUUUCUUCGUGUACAGUGGUUGUGAAGGCACUAAUCUCUUCUCUUCUAAACAAGAGUGCGUGAAUGCCUGUGUCCGCCAUGACAAAACACACAUGUUUGCUACUAACAACUAAAAACUACCGCAAAGUUAAAA